UACCAAUGGGAUUUCUAAUCUGGAGGGAAAAAAAACAGGCAGGCAAUUCUCCAAGCUUUUUUAAAACCCUCCCCCUUAUUAAGCACCUUCCUAUAAAUGUCAGCUUACCAAAAACAACUCCAGAAAAUACACAAGCCGGUUACAUGCACAAUUCAGAGUUUAUUAGAAAAAAAAGGGGGGAGGGGGGGAAUUAUAGCACUUCCUCUAAUCUUCAGGAAAAAGAAAUUUACGGUAAGUAAAACAUUUUGUUUUCCCUUCAGAUUAGAGGCAGUGCUUUACCAAUGGGAUAUGAAAAAGCAAUCCCUCCGAUUGCAUCUUCUGAGGCCAGUAUGUCUAACCUGUAAUGUUUUGAGAAUGUAUGAAACGAUGACCAUGUGACCGCUGAACAAAUCUGGGAAGGUGUAGCCGCAGCUCGCAGAGCCCAGGACGUAGAUAUAGCUCUAGUAGAAUGGGCCUUUACGGAGCCUGUGAUUUCUGCGUUACUUGUGGAAUAAGCUAAAUGAAUACAAUCCUUCAGCCAUCCAGCCAGAGAACUUUUUGAAACAUUCUAUUUCUCUUGUCCGUGAAUCUUUCUUUCUGUAAUCGAAAACUUUCCUCUGUUCCCCUGUAAUAGUUCCUACGAAAGGAACUUCUAACUGAAGGCUGGAUCCCCAUUUUUUGUUCCAAACCUGCUUCUUGUGGGUUUCAGGCAAGACCUUCCUGCCUUCCUUCAUUUGUUUUAACAGAUGAUCCAGUUUUGACCAUAACAGUCUACCAGACUCAAAGGGUAAGUCACACAAAUAAUUUUUAGCUGCAGCGUCAGCUGACCAGUUUCUAAGCCAAAGUGCUCUCCUAGAUACUGUUGUUAGACACAAAUUCUUAGCAGAUAAUUUCAGACUCUCUGAAGAAGAAUCUACCAAAAAAUCUGCAGACAUCUUGAUAUUUUUCAACAGCUUUACUGGAUCUUCUUUUGAUUCUCCUUCAUAAACCUUCUCUAGUUCUUCUAGCCAAUGUUUUUGUGCUUUGGCCACAGAGGUUCCUGCGAUAAGGGCUUUUGCCAGAGCCACUGAGGAAACAAACAUUUUCUUUAAAGACGAGUCCAUACGCUUUUCCAUCACAUCCCUUAAACCACUCGAGUCACCUAUAGGCAACGCAGUUUUCUUUCCUAUUUGAGUUAUAGGAAUGUCUACUACAGGAACUGUAUCCAGCAGUUUUGAUAUAAAUGGUUUAUGACCUGGGAAUUUCCAUUCUCUUAAAACCAACUCCUUUAGCUGUGGAUAUAAUGGGAAAACGUUAGAUCUUUUUCCUGUUAUCCCAUCCAACAUAAGGUUCUGCACUUCAUUUAUUAAAAACUUUCCAAUGGCUUCCUCUGGAAAGGCAAAUUCCUCCUCAGAAGAAUCACUAGAGGAAUCAUCUCUAGAACAAGAAUCAGAAGUACCUGAGCUUGCAUCUGAAUCUUCCCAUGAUCUCAGCCUUUUCUUGGAUUGUUUUACUACCUGUAAAUCCUGAGCAACAGAUGCCUGAGCCGACUGCAUAGAUGCAGAUUGCAUUUCAACAAAGGUUUGCUGCAUACUCUGUUGUAACCAGCUUAGAAACGUGGACAUUUCUGUUUUUUUAGCUUCCUCUAAAGCCUCUUUGGAACAUAGAGAACAAAGUUUCCUUUUAUAUCCAUCUGGCAUAGGUUGGAAACAUACAGAGCAACUUAAAUGCUUGGAUUUUGCUGAACAUUUCCCCUUCUGUCGAUUUCUCCGUAAUCUCAGGAUUAGACAUACUGAGGAAAGAUAGGAGAAAGGGAAAAUUUUAAUUCCCUUUAUGAUUCAGGCUAGACCCAUUAAAAUAAAAGCUAAAUGUCUUACCUUAAAUGGUCUCACAGUGUGUUGGAGGGCAGGUGAGAAACACACUCGCAACAGAUCUGCUCCGUUUCAGUCCUGUAAACCAACUGAACGAAAAACUUUCAGAUUUGGCGCCUGAAUCUUGGAUUGCAUUGCGCAUGUGCAUUGAGCUACGCGAAUUCCCAGUGGAACGCAACAUAACCUGUACGUGCGUUCCACCGCCAUGACCUCCCAGCUGACGCACGCCUGCGUCCUUCGUCUGACCGGCACCUGGCGCGGAAGAGACAGAACAUUAUAAGCUUCGUGAAGAACCCGCCGUCUGGCGUACAAAAUUUUGCUUCAAAACAAAAGGAAGCAGGGUCUCAGCCCUUCUCACCUGCUUCCCUGAAGAAAAACCUGCUAUACCUCCUCUGCCGAAGUCAGGCAAAGAACUGGGGUUGUUUUUGGUAAGCUGACAUUUAUAGGAAGGUGCUUAAUAAGGGGGAGGGUUUUAAAAAAGUUUGGAGAAUUGCCUGCCUGUUUUUUCCCUCCAGAUUAGAAAUCCCAUUGGUAAAGCACUCCCUCUAAUCUGAAGGGAAAAAUAACAUCACAGUAUAAGCAGUGUGUAGGCGGUACGGUCACAGUAUAAGCAGUGUGUAGGCGGUACGGUCACAGUAUAAGCAGUGUGUAGGCGGUACGGUCACAGUAUAAGCAGUGUGUAGGCGGUACGGUCACAGUAUAAGCAUUGUUUAGGCCAGUGAUGGCUAACCUUGACACCAUAAAUUGUUUCUGGACUACAUUUCCCAUGAUGCUCAGUUAGCUUUUAGACUAGUCAAAUCUGACUAAUAUACAUACAGAAUCGACCUUACACUGGAUCCACCUUUUACCGACAAUUAAGCCAGUCAUGUAUACUGUGUGGUAAACCUGUUUCAUCUAAUAUAGGAGUAGCCUUAUAAGGCCAAGGAAUUUAUGUAUAUAGCCAUUUUGCUUAUACGUUAAGUUUUUGUUACAAUUGUCCCCACCACAGAGAUCACACCAUUACUUUAGAUACUGGUCAUAGGCGUGUGCAGCCUAUUGCAUUAGGGUGUGCACCCUAAAGUACAAACACACGCCACGUGUGUAUGUAUAUAUAUAUAUAUAUAUAUAUAUAUAUAUAUAUAUAUAUAUAGAUAGAGAGAGAGAGAGAGAGAGAGAGAGAGAGAGAGAGAGAGAGAGAGAGCGCGCUAUACACACACAUACAUACACACACACAAAUACAAAUGGGUGCAGUGUGUGUGAUUGUAAGGCGUGCAGCGAUUAAGGGGUACAGUGUGUGGGGUUCAUUGUGUGUGAUUGUGAAGGGAGGGUGUUAGUGUGAGAAGUUUUGCAGGCAAGGAUAGGAGUCUGAGAAGGGAGCAGCUUUUUAAUUUCAUUAUACUUAUUUUAAUAUUUUUUAAUUAUAGACUGUGAGAUUCCCGCACAUGCCCAGGUAAACACUUGGACAUGCGAACGGGAAUUUCGUCUAUUCAUUCAUUCGUCAGAAAGACGAACGAAUGAAUAUUUCAGACGAACAAACAAACACUGAGUAUCGGUGCGCAGCUACCUCCUUGUAAUAUGUAAAGAUAGAAGCGGCAGGGAGCUGUGCUCUCCGCCACUUCAUAAGCCCCCCAGGUCCCCCCCUCACUCUAUGGGGGUCAAUAUGACCCCAUAUUAGCAUAAGGGAGAUUAGGUAGGGGGUUACUUUUUUUUGGGUGAGUGACUAAGGGCUUGGGGACCCCUAGUCACCUUUGAUGAGGGGAGGGGGGGAAUUUGUCUUAAGGCCCCCACCCGCCGCCCAGUAGGUCCCCCCCCAUUAUCUUUAUGGCCCCCACCCACCACUCAAGGGUGGGGGCUGGGGGGAGGACAGUAAGUCCCCCCCCACCGCUCAAGGAUGGGAGGACAGUAGGUCCCCCC
rnacentral:lncRNA from 1 species